AAUAUAACAUCAUUAGAGUCGGGUUGACACUGUGGUUAGAUUAAUAAAAGCUCUGAGGAGGCCGCGUUUUCCUGAGCCAUUUUUCGGGGUCGUUGCAGAAUUCGGCUAGUUGUGCUUGCCGAAAGCUUGCAAGCCAGGGGAGGUGGACACCUGUAGCUUUUCAUUUAGGUGAGAAUGUGGAUGGUACAAGAGCUGAGUAUGCCAAAUCGGGUUGAUAUCUUUUUAUAAUAAAGAGUAAAGGUACUAAAUAUUCAAUGUGCAUGUUGUUAGGCAGCAACACAUGUUUACUUAGAAGAGCGCAACUGAAUGUUAGAUUACUUUGAUCCAUGACUGCGUGUAACUAGAGGUGGAAGCUGAAGACAGGCAUGGUAUCAACUCGCCCCCUUCUAUGCUAUGAGUGUUCUUCAUUGCUGCCUGGUCUCCUGUUUUGCCUUUGUGCACGUCCUACAGUCUUCUGCCUCAAUAAGGUGACUCUGAGCUGACCGUUUUGCUGAAUUCAGUCUCAGACCCUUAAAAAGAGAGAGGAGGAAAAAAAAAAAAGUGCGGCAGUGUUUGGUGCAGCAGGUUUUGGUGACUUUAUGUUAAUGAGUGGUCAAAAUGAGUCAGGUAAAAUUCAUUUCCCCCCUGGCCAAGUACAAGAUUUCAAGCUAAGAUUUAGCAGUGAGAGGUGUAGAAAGUCCUAAAUGUUAACUGCUGUGGCUCUCAGGCUGUCUUCAGUAGUUCUGUAAUAAUAUAACAAUAUUAAUUCAGUUUUUGUAAAAUUGCUAAAUACUGGUUUCUGUGUUGCCUUUGGAGACUUUAGAGCUGCCCUCUUAUUUUCGUCCUCUUCAGGGGAGAAAUGAAAAGGCCUGUGUGCACUUCACAGGAAAUGAAUGUCUGAUACAAGCUUGCAGACUGCACAUUUCCAAGAACUGCUCUCAAGAAACCAAACACGCUCGCAGACUUGCCUGCCUUGAAGAGUACCGGGAACGCACCAGACUAUCCUGUGGGUCCUUUCGUUGGGUAAAGGACCUUUUAGCCUGUAUCGGCAAAGCGUCACGUUAAAGCAGAAAGCGCAUGUAUGGCGAGAAAACGCAAAGCUGAAAUGUCGCAUCCCUGGAAAGGUGAGGUACCGGUGGGUUUUGAGAGGAGCCCUCCAACCCCAAGGUGGUGAGAAGAGCUCGAGGAGGACAGGCCUUUUGCAAGAGCUGUAGAAACUGGUUCCCUGAGCUCACGGGGCGGCUCUGCUGCACAGCUGUAGUACCUGGAAACGGCAGACGUCAGCCUGUGCGCGCUGCCUCAAACUUGCAGCGUUUUUAUUUAUUUAUUUUUUUAAUAUCGCAUCCUUGCUGAGUGCUGCUCGGGUAGGGAAGCGCGCAGCUUUGCUUUGGGGCGUGCGUGUGUUUUUUCCUUCCCCCCCCGCCAUGUUCCCUCACAUGUCAGACACAACGGCAGCCUCGCAUCCAACUCUAUUUAUAGCGUAACAGAUAGAGGGGAGCGCGACGUCUCCC
rnacentral:lncRNA from 1 species